CGGCAGCGGCGGAGUUAUAAUCUUUACUUUUUUGUGCGCGGCCCUCAACACAAUGCACUAUAUUCGGAAACUGACGAAA